UACGGAGGGCGCGAGCAUUAAUCGGAUUCAUUGGGCGUAAAGGGGGCGUAGGCGGUUGUGACAGCCAGCUGUGAAAUCCCGGGGCUCAACCCCGGAACUGCGUUUGGAACUACACACCUAGAGGGUAGGCGGAGAAAACGGAAUUCCACAUGUAGCGGUGAAAUGCGUAGAUAUGUGGAAGAACACCGGUGGCGAAAGCGGUUUUCUAGAUUAUUCCUGACGCUGAGGCCCGAAAGCUAGGGGAGCAAACAGG
rnacentral:misc_RNA from 1 species